rnacentral:rRNA from 1 species
GAGUUUGAUCAUGGCUCAGGAUGAACGCUGGCGGCGUGCUUAACACAUGCAAGUCGAACGAGAUCCAUGGAGCAGCAAUGCAACGGAAGAUCUAGUGGCGAACGGGUGAGUAACACGUGAGGAACCUACCCCGGUCUCAGGGAUAACAGACGGAAACAUCUGCUAAUACCUGAUGUCGUCAGAGUGCCACAUGGUGUUUUGACGAAAGAUUUAUCGGUCCGGGAGGGCCUCGCGUCCUAUCAGCUUGUUGGUGGGGUAAUGGCCUACCAAGGCGUCGACGGGUAGCUGGUCUGAGAGGAUGAUCAGCCACACUGGGACUGAGACACGGCCCAGACUCCUACGGGAG